rnacentral:rRNA from 1 species
UUUGACCUAGGGGCGCAGCAGUGGGGGAUAUUGCACAAUGGGGGAAACCCUGAUGCAGCGACGCCGCGUGAGCGAUGAAGUAUUUCGGUAUGUAAAGCUCUAUCAGCAGGGAAGAAAAUGACGGUACCUGACUAAGAAGCCCCGGCUAACUACGUGCCAGCAGCCGCGGUAAUACGUAGGGGGCAAGCGUUAUCCGGAUUUACUGGGUGUAAAGGGAGCGUAGACGGCAGUGCAAGUCUGAAGUGAAAGGCAAGGGCUCAACCCUUGGACUGCUUUGGAAACUGCGCUGCUGGAGUGUCGGAGAG